UUGGUCAUUGGUAGAGAGAACCGUGUGUGUGUGUACUGUAUGGUGUGUGUUGUGGUUCAUUGGUAGAGCAGAACGUGUGUGUGUGUGUACUGUAUGUGUGUGUGUUUGGUCAUUGGUAGAGAGAAGUGGGUGUGUGUGUACUGUAUGUGUGUUGUGUUUUGGUCAUUGGUAGAGAGAACGUGUGUGUUACGUAUGUGUGUGUGUGUUUGGUCAUUGGUGAGAGAACGUGUGGGUGUGUACUGUAUGGUGUGUGUUUUGGUCAUUGGUAGAGAGACGUGGUGUGUGUGAUGUAGUGUGUGUGUUUUGAGUCAUUGGUAGAGAGAACGAUGUGGUGUGUACUGUAUGCGUGUGUUUUGGUCACUUGGUAGAGAGACCGCGUGGUGUGUGUACUGUAUGGUGUGUUGUUUUGGUCAUUGGUAGAGAGAACGUUGUGUGUGUAUGUAUGUGCGUGUGUGUUUUUGGUCUGGUAGAGAGAACGCGUGUGUGUGUACUGUUGCGUUUGUGUUUUGUUUAUCUGGUAGAGAGAACGUGUGUGUGUGUACUGUAUGCGUGUGUGUUUGGUCAUUGGUAGAGAUAACGUGUGUGUGUACUGUAUGCGUGUGUGUUUUGGUCAUUGGUAGAGAGAACGUGUGUGUGUGUACUGUAUGGCGUUGUGUUUUUGGUAAUUGGUUAGAUCAGAGAAACGUGUGUGUGUACUGCUAUGCGUGUGUGUUUUGGUCAUUGGUAGAGAGACACGUGUGUUGUGUACUGUAUGUGUGUGUGUUUUGGUCAUUGGAGA
ensembl:lncRNA